UCCUUAGCAGCAGGUAGGGCAUUUCCGUCCCCCACCUUUUUCUUGCUUUUAACCUUUAUAGCAGAAACCACACUGCACGAGCACCCUGCAAAGUAGAAUUUUCUCUUAGCCCUUCCUGUUGCUGUAAUCUGUUUUCUACUUCUGUGUUAACACCUCCAUUAUGACAGUUCACUCAGCUCAAGUCAGACUUGUAAUGGUGAUACACAAGUAAAUGGUGCCUCCGACAGCACCAGUGAGGCAGAAUUCAAGUAGUUCUGGCAAAUUGUCCUGUGCAGUGUAGAUGUGGGGCUGUAGCGUUCUGUCUGAAAGCUCUUGAGAGGGCAGAGAAGUCCAAAAACACAUUUUUGUUUUAGUAAAGCACCAUCCAAUAUAUAUGGAGAAGGGUUUUUGUGUCCUUACUCCAGCAGGCCCUUGCAAGAAUGUGCUGCCCAAUGGUAGGACGUCAAAUGCCAAGACUGACUGAGUAACAGGAAUCUGUGCUUUGCUCUUACUUCACUGCAAGUUGAAGGAAAUGAAAUGGUGGUGA